AAGCCAGUCAGGACUUUGGGGAGCCUCCUCUCCCUUGGAGCAGACUUGUUCAGGGCAAGAAGCUCACACGGCUUCACCUCCUGGGUCUCUCCUUGGAGCAUUCAGCAUCCUCUGCCCCUCCGUGCGCUUCCCACAGCGAGUCCACCCCAGCGGGGUCCUGGGGAAGCCACCGGGUCCUGCACCCCCACUUUGCAGUCAGACGUGACUCAGCCAGCCAGUAACACAGAGGUUUAUUCGAUGACAGGAACAGGGUCUAAAACAGAGCUUGUAGAUACAGCGAACCGGACCCCUCGGCUGGGUCCAUUCUGGGGGGCAAUGAGCCAGACCCCCAGGUCUGCCUUCUACCCUUGACCCCAGCCAGCUCCAGACUAACAACCCCU